rfam:Brassica oleracea var. oleracea cultivar TO1000 chromosome C6, whole genome shotgun sequence
UAUAGUGAUGAAUUUAAUCACAAUUGUCACUACCUCUGAGGCAUAUUAUUCUCGUUUUUGUUACUUAUAUGUUUAAGCCUGGUU